rnacentral:lncRNA from 1 species
ACCUCUUUUCUUCCUCUAUCUAUGAGUUUUCUAAGAGUGUCUUACAUCUAAAACUCCUUCUCCUACUUUUUAUCUUUGAAAGAGUCUAAAUCAAGAAGAAGGAGGCAUCUGAUCGACCAUCGAAGAAGGAUCAGCACAAUACUAGCAUACUAUGUUGAUUUCCUGGACCAGGACUUCUGAUCGUGAUUCGUGGGCUCGUGUGGAUGACUCCUAGAGGUCGGAUGCAUGUGCAGCUCGCAACAUCAUCCUUAAGCCCAGAUCAGCAAAGUUAGAACAUCUAACUUGCAAGGUAAUAGAUCUGAUCUAUUAUAUUUUACAUACA